GCUGCGACAGGGUUGGGGGUGGGUAAGCUGCUUCCCGCGCGCUUGUGAGAGGAAGAGGAGAAAUGCUUCACUCCCCCACCGCCCACAUCGAGACUCUACGGUGUCUCCUACCUACUGACUGAAAGGCUUGUCGCUCCGCGGCCGUUACAGUGAGCGGAGCCUCUGCGGCAGCUGCCUUGCUCCUAAAGCCAGCCCCUCAGCCUCCGGUGGUCGUGCACUCACCUCCAGAUACCGACAGCCCGUCACCGUCAGUUCCUGAGAAGUGAGUUGUCUUCUGCCGAAACCAUUGGUGUCUAAUCACUCCUCCGUCUUUUUUUUUUCAAACCGGUGGUAUAAAGUAAAAAUGCAGAGCUGGUUUUUAAAGCACUGGUGUAUGAAUUUACUCAAGCCAAUUAGGAUUAUGGCACUUUAUUUAGCUGCCACUCCCCAUUGUCCUUAUAAGCCUGGGUAACCAUCUGGGUCAUCACCAAGACCUUUUGAAAUGAUGAUGGCUUUAGUGGAAACUUUAGGGAGUGACAUCUGCUUUCCAGAAAAGUAGUUGUCUCUGAAAGUGAAAUUAAACCUUUUUUUUUUUUUUUUUGCAAUACAGUAGUCUCCCUUUAUUCCUUUGUAUCCUUAAAUUCAGUUUUUAGAAUUAUUGUGCAUUUUGGGUUUAAAAGAAAGCCUCUGUAGGGGCUGCGGUUGUGGCUCAGCGGUAGAGCGCUCGCCUAGCACUUGCAAGGCGCUGGGUUCCAGCCUCAGCACCACAUAAAAAUAAAUAAAUGAAAUACUAAAAAAAAAAGAAAGAAAGCCUCUGUAUGUGUUUUGAAAUUGUGUAGUUUCAUAAUGUAAAAAAAUGUUCUCUAUUUAAUAGAGUUUAUUAAUGUAAAGCACAGUUAAUUUGAAGUAAACAAAAUUUCUGCUUUU